rnacentral:rRNA from 1 species
AACGAACGCUGGCGGCAGGCCUAACACAUGCAAGUCGAGCGAGGACUUCGGUUCUAGCGGCGGACGGGUGAGUAACGCGUGGGAAUGUGCCCUUCUCUACGGAAUAGCCCUGGGAAACUGGGAGUAAUACCGUAUACGCCCUUUUGGGGAAAGAUUUAUCGGAGAAGGAUCAGCCCGCGUUGGAUUAGGUAGUUGGUGGGGUAAUGGCCUACCAAGCCGACGAUCCAUAGCUGGUUUGAGAGGAUGAUCAGCCACACUGGGACUGAGACACGGCCCAGACCCCUAGGGGGGGCAGGAGGGGGGAAUCUUAAACAAGGGGGGAAACCCUGAUCUGGCCAUGCCGCGUGAGGGAUGAAGGCUUUAGGGUUGUAAAGCUUUUUCCGCUGGAAAGAUAAUGGCGGUACCAGCAGAAGAAGCCCCGGCUAACCCCGU